CCUACGGGAGGCAGCAGUGAGGAAUAUUGGUCAAUGGCCGGAAGGCUGAACCAGCCAUGCCGCGUGAAGGUCAGUGCCCUUUGGGCGUUAAACUUCUUUUGUGCGGGAGCAAUAAUGGUCACGUGUGGCCAGACGAGAGUACCGUACGCAUAAGCAUCGGCUGAAUCCGUGCCAGCAGCCGCGGUAAUACGGGGGAUGCAAGCGGUUUCCGGAUUUAAUGGGGUUCAAGGGUGCGGUGGCUGGUAGGUAAGUGUGCUGUGAAAUGCCCCGGCUGAAGGGGGUGAAGUGCCAUUGAUACUGGCGUGCUGGAGUGCGGAUGCGGUGGGAGGAAUGCGUGGUGUAGCGGUGAAAUGCAUAGAUAUCACGCAGAACACCGAUUGCGAAGGCAGCUCUCGACACCGCAAUUGACGCUGAUGCACGAAAGCGUGGGUAUCAAACAGGAUUAGAUACCCCUGUAGUC
rnacentral:rRNA from 1 species